GACGAACGCUGGCGGCGUGCUUAACACAUGCAAGUCGAACGGAGAGGCCCUGCUUUUGUGGGGUGCUCGAGUGGCGAACGGGUGAGUAACACGUGAGUAACCUGCCCUUUACUUUGGGAUAACUUCAGGAAACAGGGGCGAAUACCGGGUAUGAGAUCCUGCAACAUGGUGUGGGUUGGAGAAUUUCGGCGGUUGGGGAUGGACUCGCGGCUUAUCAGCUUGUUGGUGGGGUAGUGGCUUACCAAGGCUUUGACGGGUAGCCGGCCUGAGAGGGUGACCGGCCACAUUGGGACUGAGAUACGGCCCAGACUCCUACGGGAGGCAGCAGUGGGGAAUAUUGCACAAUGGGCGGAAGCCUGAUGCAGCAACGCCGCGUGCGGGAUGACGGCCUUCGGGUUGUAAACCGCUUUCGCCUGUGACGAAGCGUGAGUGACGGUAAUGGGUAAAGAAGCACCGGCUAACUACGUG
rnacentral:rRNA from 1 species